rnacentral:rRNA from 1 species
UACAGAGGUCUCAAGCGUUGUUCGGAUUCAUUGGGCGUAAAGGGUGUGUAGGUGGCGCGCUAAGUCGGGUGUGAAAUUUCGAAGCUUAACUCCGAAACUGCAUUCGAUACUGGCGUGCUUGAGGACUGGAGAGGAGACUGGAAUUCAUGGUGUAGCAGUGAAAUGCGUAGAGAUCAUGAGGAAGACCAGUGGCGAAGGCGGGUCUCUGGGCCGAUACUGACGCUGAGGAGCGAAAGCGUGGGGAGCGAACAGG